GUAACAAGGUCUCCGUUGGUGAACCAGCGGAGGGAUCAUUACAGAGUUACUACUCCAAAACCCAUUGUGAACCUUACCUAUGUUCUGUUGCCUCGGCGGCGUGGUCAGCGCCCCCUCUGAAAAGAGGACGAUGCCCUCCCGCCGGCAGCACCAAACUCUUGAAUUUUACAGCGGAUUACAGUUCUGAUUUGAAAAGAAAAAACAAGUUAAAACUUUCAACAACGGAUCUCUUGGUUCUGGCAUCGAUGAAGAACGCAGCGAAAUGCGAUAAGUAAUGUGAAUUGCAGAAUUCAGUGAAUCAUCGAAUCUUUGAACGCACAUUGCGCCCGGCAGUAAUCUGCCGGGCAUGCCUGUCCGAGCGUCAUUUCAACCCUCGAACCUCCGUUUCCUCAGGGAAGCUCAGGGUCGGUGUUGGGGCGCUACGGCGAGUCUUCGCGACCCUCCGUAGGCCCUGAAAUACAGUGGCGGUCCCGCCGCGGUUGCCUUCUGCGUAGUAAGUCUCUUUUGCAAGCUCGCAUUGGGUCCCGGCGGAGGCCUGCCGUCAAACCACCUAUAACUCCAGAUGGUUUGACCUCGGAUCAGGUAGGGUUACCCGCUGAACUUAAGCAUAUCAAUAA
rnacentral:misc_RNA from 1 species